UCGUGUCGUGAGAUGUUGGGUUAAGUCCCGCAACGAGCGCAACCCUCGCCUUUAGUUGCCAUCACGUUUGGGUGGGCACUCUAAAGGAACUGCCGGUGACAAGCCGGAGGAAGGUGGGGAUGACGUCAAGUCCUCAUGGCCCUUAUGUCCUGGGCUACACACGUGCUACAAUGGCGGUGACAGUGGGAAGCCAGGUAGCGAUACCGAGCCGAUCUCUAAAAGCCGUCUCAGUUCGGAUUGCACUCUGCAACUCGAGUGCAUGAAGGUGGAAUCGCUAGUAAUCGCGGAUCAGCAUGCCGCGGUGAAUACGUUUCCCGGGAAA
rnacentral:rRNA from 1 species